rnacentral:rRNA from 1 species
GCAGUCGAGCGGUAGAGAGAAGCUUGCUUCUCUUGAGAGCGGCGGACGGGUGAGUAAUGCCUAGGAAUCUGCCUGGUAGUGGGGGAUAACGUCCGGAAACGGACGCUAAUACCGCAUACGUCCUACGGGAGAAAGCAGGGGACCUUCGGGCCUUGCGCUAUCAGAUGAGCCUAGGUCGGAUUAGCUAGUUGGUGGGGUAAUGGCUCACCAAGGCGACGAUCCGUAACUGGUCUGAGAGGAUGAUCAGUCACACUGGAACUGAGACACGGUCCAGACUCCUACGGGAGGCAGCAGUGGGGAAUAUUGGACAAUGGGCGAAAGCCUGAUCCAGCCAUGCCGCGUGUGUGAAGAAGGUCUUCGGAUUGUAAAGCACUUUAAGUUGGGAGGAAGGGCAGUAAAUUAAUACUUUGCUGUUUUGACGUUACCGACAGAAUAAGCACCGGCUAACUCUGUGCCAGCAGCCGCGGUAAUACAGAGGGUGCAAGCGUUAAUCGGAAUUACUGGGCGUAAAGCGCGCGUAGGUGGUUCGUUAAGUUGGAUGUGAAAUCCCCGGGCUCAACCUGGGAACUGCAUUCAAAACUGACGAGCUAGAGUAUGGUAGAGGGUGGUGGAAUUUCCUGUGUAGCGGUGAAAUGCGUAGAUAUAGGAAGGAACACCAGUGGCGAAGGCGACCACCUGGACUGAUACUGACACUGAGGUGCGAAAGCGUGGGGAGCAAACA